GACGAACGCUGGCGGCGUGCUUAACACAUGCAAGUCGAGCGGUAAGGCUCCUUCGGGAGUACACGAGCGGCGAACGGGUGAGUAACACGUGAGUAAUCUGCCCUUCACUUCGGGAUAACCACCGGAAACGGUGGCUAAUACCGAAUACGACCAGUCUUCGCAUGAGGUGCUGGUGGAAAGUCUUUUCGGUGAAGGAUGUGCUCGCGGCCUAUCAGCUUGUUGGUGGGGUAAUGGCCUACCAAGGCUUCGACGGGUAGCCGGCCUGAGAGGGUGACCGGCCACACUGGGACUGAGACACGGCCCAGACUCCUACGGGAGGCAGCAGUGGGGAAUAUUGGACAAUGGGCGAAAGCCUGAUCCAGCAACGCCGCGUGAGGGAUGACGGCCGUCGGGUUGUAAACCUCUUUCAGUACCGACGAAGCGCCCGGGCGGGUGGUGACGGUAGGUACAGAAGAAGGACCGGCCAACUACGUG
rnacentral:rRNA from 1 species